rnacentral:rRNA from 1 species
GAAACGGGUGGUAAUGCCGGAUGCUCCGACUCCUCGCAUGGGGUGUCGGGAAAGAUUUCAUCGGUAUGGGAUGGGGUCGCGUCCUAUCAGGUAGUCGGCGGGGUAACGGCCCACCGAGCCUACGACGGGUAGCCGGCCUGAGAGGGCGACCGGCCACAUUGGGACUGAGAUACGGCCCAGACUCCUACGGGAGGCAGCAGUGGGGAAUAUUGCACAAUGGGCGCAAGCCUGAUGCAGCGACGCCGCGUGCGGGAUGACGGCCUUCGGGUUGUAAACCGCUUUUGAUCGGGAGCAAGCCUUCGGGUGAGUGUACCUUUCGAAUAAGCACCGGCUAACUACGUGCCAGCAGCCGCGGUAAUACGUAGGGUGCAAGCGUUAUCCGGAAUUAUUGGGCGUAAAGGGCUCGUAGGCGGUUCGUCGCGUCCGGUGUGAAAGUCCAUCGCUUAACGGUGGAUCUGCGCCGGGUACGGGCGGGCUGGAGUGCGGUAGGGGAGACUGGAAUUCCCGGUGUAACGGUGGAAUGUGUAGAUAU